UACGUAGGGGGCAAGCGUUGUCCGGAUUUAUUAGGCGUAAAGCGCUCGCAGGUGGUCCGCUGCGUCGUGCGUGAAAGACCCCGGCUCAACUGGGGGAUGUCGUGCGAUACGGGCGGACUGGAGGCCAGUAGGGGGAUGCGGAAUUCCGGGUGUAGUGGUGGAAUGCGUAGAGAUCCGGAGGAACACCAGCGGCGAAGGCGGCAUCCUGGACUGGUCCUGACACUCAGGAGCGAAAGCGUGGGGAGCGAUCCGG
rnacentral:rRNA from 1 species